rnacentral:lncRNA from 1 species
GUGCAGUGGCACAUGCCUGUAGUCCCAGCUACUCCAGAGACUGAGUUGGGAGGAUGGUUGGGGCCUAGGAGGCAGAGGUUGCUGUGAGCCAAGAUUGCACCACUGCACUCCAGCCUGGGUGACAGAGGGAGACCCUGUAAAAAAAAAAAUACAGAGAGAGAGAGAAGAAAGAAAGAAAGAAAGAAAGAAAGAAAGAAAGAAAGAAAGAAAGAAAGAAAGAAAGAAAGAAAGAAAGGAAAGAAAGAAAGAAAGAGAAAGAAAGAAAGAAAGAAAGAAAGAAAGAAAGAAAGAAAGAAAGAGAAAGAAAGAAAGAAAGAAAGAAAGAAGAAAGCAAGAAAGAAAAUAUAAAAUUAUAGACCAAUAUGGCUCUUGAAUUAUUUGUUUUAGUCUUUUGCAACCAGGGUUAUCUUGGCUUGUUUAUGAUGAAAUCAUUUUUCACAAAGUCUAAAGAAUGUUGGUUGUCAAAAUAUACGGUUUCUGUGGUGCCCCAUAUCUGCCCCAUUUCUCUGCGCCUGCGGUCUGGUUACUCCCUUAUGAAAGUGCAUAGAAUCCCCUCUUCCCUGUUCCCCACUUUGCGAGAGAUCUAUUGGGAGCUAGUGGGAGUUUUUCAUUUUUAACACUGGGCAUUUCUAUAAAUUCAUAUUUCUGCAUCUCCUUAUUUUGUUAGGGAGUGAUGUAUGGUCCAUCCUCAUCAUUUAUGAAUUCUGUAGUUGCAAAUUUGCCUGCCAGACGACAUUUAUUUUUUUUUCUCCCCCAUCAAUGCUGGUGGUGCUUUUGCAGUCAGUUAUGGACAUGAACAGAGCGGUCAGAAAUUUGAGUCUCCUGAUACGAAGUUGCCCAUCUGAGGUUAAACAAGGCAA